rnacentral:tRNA from 1 species
UCCAUGGUGGUCUAGUGGCUAGGAUUCAGCGCUUUCACCGCCAGAGCCCGGGUUCGAGUCCCAGUCAGGGAA